CAAGAGGACAACAGUUGGAAACGACUGCUAAUACUCUAUACUCCUGCUUAACACAAGUUGAGUAGGGAAAGUUUUUCGGUGUAGGAUGAGACUAUAUAGUAUCAGCUAGUUGGUAAGGUAAUGGCUUACCAAGGCUAUGACGCUUAACUGGUCUGAGAGGAUGAUCAGUCACACUGGAACUGAGACACGGUCCAGACUCCUACGGGAGGCAGCAGUAGGGAAUAUUGCGCAAUGGGGGAAACCCUGACGCAGCAACGCCGCGUGGAGGAUGACACUUUUCGGAGCGUAAACUCCUUUUCUUAGGGAAGAAUUCUGACGGUACCUAAGGAAUAAGCACCGGCUAACUCCGUGCCAGCAGCCGCGGUAAUACGGAGGGUGCAAGCGUUACUCGGAAUCACUGGGCGUAAAGGGCGCGUAGGCGGAUUAUCAAGUCUCUUGUGAAAUCUAAUGGCUUAACCAUUAAACUGCUUGGGAAACUGAUAGUCUAGAGUGAGGGAGAGGCAGAUGGAAUUGGUGGUGUAGGGGUAAAAUCCGUAGAUAUCACCAAGAAUACCCAUUGCGAAGGCGAUCUGCUGGAACUCAACUGACGCUAAGGCGCGAAAGCGUGGGGAGCAAACAGGAUUAGAUACCCUGGUAGUCCACGCCCUAAACGAUGUACACUAGUUGUUGGGGUGCUAGUCAUCUCAGUAAUGCAGCUAACGCAUUAAGUGUACCGCCUGGGGAGUACGGUCGCAAGAUUAAAACUCAAAGGAAUAGACGGGGACCCGCACAAGCGGUGGAGCAUGUGGUUUAAUUCGAAGAUACGCGAAGAACCUUACCUGGGCUUGAUAUCCUAAGAACCUUUUAGAGAUAAGAGGGUGCUAGCUUGCUAGAACUUAGAGACAGGUGCUGCACGGCUGUCGUCAGCUCGUGUCGUGAGAUGUUGGGUUAAGUCCCGCAACGAGCGCAACCCACGUAUUUAGUUGCUAACGGUUCGGCCGAGCACUCUAAAUAGACUGCCUUCGUAAGGAGGAGGAAGGUGUGGACGACGUCAAGUCAUCAUGGCCCUUAUGCCCAGGGCGACACACGUGCUACAAUGGCAUAUACAAUGAGACGCAAUACCGCGAGGUGGAGCAAAUCUAUAAAAUAUGUCCCAGUUCGGAUUGUUCUCUGCAACUCGAGAGCAUGAAGCCGGAAUCGCUAGUAAUCGUAGAUCAGCCAUGCUACGGUGAAUACGUUCCCGGGUCUUGUACUCACCGCCCGUCACACCAUGGGAGUUGAUUUCACUCGAAGCCGGAAUACUAAACUAGUUACCGUCCAC
rnacentral:rRNA from 1 species